rnacentral:rRNA from 1 species
UGGCGGCGUGCUUAACACAUGCAAGUCGAACGAGGGAAUUCUUUUCGGAGAAUAUACCGAGUGGCAAACGGGUGAGUAACGCGUAGGCAACCUGCCUUCAAGAUGGGGACAACAGUCCGAAAGGGCUGCUAAUACCGAAUGACAUGUCUGAACCGCAUGGGACGGACAGCAAAGACGGCCUCCAAGCUAUGCUGUCGCUUGAAGAUGGGCCUGCGUCUGAUUAGCUAGUUGGUGAGAUAACAACCCACCAAGGCGACGAUCAGUAGCCGGUCUGAGAGGAUGAACGGCCACAUUGGGACUGAGACACGGCCCAGACUCCUACGGGAGGCAGCAGUGGGGAAUCUUCCGCAAUGGGCGAAAGCCUGACGGAGCAACGCCGCGUGAGUGAAGAAGGUCUUCGGAUCGUAAAGCUCUGUUGAAGGGGACGCACGGCGCCUGUUACAAGAUAGCAGGUGAAUGACGGUACCCUUCGAGGAAGCCACGGCUAACUACGUG